rnacentral:rRNA from 1 species
GCUUAGCCGUAAAAUUUGACAGUAAUAUACAACUGCUGUCCGCCAGGGGACUACAAGCGCCAGCUUAAAACCCAAAGGACUUGGCGGUGCCUCAGACCCACCUAGAGGAGCCUGUUCUAGAACCGAUAACCCCCGUUCAACCUCACCUCCCCUUGUUAUCCCCGCCUAUAUACCGCCGUCGUCAGCAUACCCUGUGAAGGGGAUAUAGUAUGCACAAUGGGUAAGCCCCAAAACGUCAGGUCGAGGUGUAGCGUAUGAGGAGGGAAGAAAUGGGCUACAUUCUCUAACGUAGAGUACUACGGAAGGGGCUGUGAAACCAGCCCCUGAAGGUGGAUUUAGCAGUAGGUGGGAACUAGAGCGUCCCAUCGAAACUGGCUCUGAGGCGCGC